rnacentral:tRNA from 1 species
GAGGAUGUAGUGUAACGGUAACACGGGUCGCUUGGGACGACCAAUAGCAGUUCGACUCUGACAUCUUCG